rnacentral:rRNA from 1 species
AAAGAUUAAACAUUUCAGUUUUUAUCAAUAAUUUAAUUUCCAAAAUUAUCUAAGUGUAAUAAGACACUUAUGAUAUAGAAGGACGAUAAGACCCUAUUGAACUUUACUGAAGUUUAACUGGGGCAGUUAAUUAAUUAAUACUUUAUAUUAAAAUAAUUAUAUAAAAAUCCAUACAAAUGAUAACCCAGUUACCAUAGGGAUAACAGCAUAAUUAUUUUUUAAAGCUCUUAUAUAAAAAAUAGAUUGUGACCUCGAUGUUGAAUUAAUAACCUAAGUAAAGCAAGAUUUAUUAAAGGAAGUCUGUUCGACUUUUAAAAAAUU